GCAGUGGAACAUCUACACGCAACAGAAAUAAGGCGGGCGACGGCAGCCUUCCUUUCAGAGACACAAGCGCACGAGCCCCCAAGGAAACCCCCAGAAGGCAGAGACGCACGCCAGGGAAGGACUUUGCCUGCAAGUCCCUGCCAAGUGCCAUCCAAGAGCUCGCACGCGUCGGGAGGGCUGGUGAGCGAGGGGGAAGAGUUUAGAAAGCCUCAUGUGACGCUCAAUGCCAAGUUCAUACAAAUGCGUGGCCCUGUUCUUGCUGUGAGAAGAUGUGGACCCACAUGUCAUAAAAUAGGACGUGUAUCUGGGAAUGAAAGCCCUUCACAGCUAAAGGAAGGGCGGAUAUAUUGCUCACUUAUCCUAGAACGGCUGAUACUGGGUACUAUCUGAUGAUGAUUCAACCCUCGAAUGACUUCAGCGGAGACCCCGGUCCUAGAACUUGAAAAAAUAAAGGCUGGAACAAAAGCGAUUCCGGAGGCGAUUCAUGACUCCGACUCCCCAGGAAACACCCCCACACACGAUCCGUGCUGCAGCUGCCAGGCCACGUUCUUGACAUCAGAUGUGUGCUCAAGAUACAGUCUAGAAGCCAUGGGUCAGACCAGGUAUGGGCCAGUGAGAAAAGCAGCAACAGCACGGGAGAAAAAGCUCCCCUCCCACCCAAAAGUUGGAAUCAGGGACACAAAAAUCCCUUAGAAUGUGUCAUUUUCAAAGCACAUUCGGGGCCCCUAGGUGGCUCAGUCAGUUGGGUGUCCGACUUUGGCCCAGGUCAUGAUCUCACAGUCCGUGGGUUCGAGCCCCA